GCCGGGCGCGGUGGCGCGCGCCUGUAGUCCCAGCUACUCGGGAGGCUGAGGCUGGAGGAUCGCUUGAGUUCAGGAGUUCUGGGCUGUAGUGCGCUAUGCCGAUCGGGUGUCCGCACUAAGUUCGGCAUCAAUAUGGUGUCCUCCCGGGAGCGGGGGACCACCAGGUUGCCUAAGGAGGGGUGAACCGGCCCAGGUCGGAGACGGAGCAGGUCAAAGCUCCCGUGCUGAUCAGUAGUGGGAUCGCGCCUGUGAAUAGCCACUGCACUCCAGCCUGGGCAACAUAGCGAGACCCCGUCUCUU
rnacentral:SRP_RNA from 1 species